rnacentral:rRNA from 1 species
UACGGGGGGGGCAAGCGUUGUUCGGAAUUACUGGGCGUAAAGUGUGCGCAGGCGGCCGCGCAAGUCGAGUGUGAAAGCCCCGAGCUUAACUUGGGAAUUGCGCUCGAAACUACGUGGCUGGAGUGUGGCAGAGGAAGGUGGAAUUCCACGUGUAGCGGUGAAAUGCGUAGAGAUGUGGAGGAACACCGAUGGCGAAGGCAGCCUUCUGGGCCAACACUGACGCUCAUGCACGAAAGCGUGGGGAGCAAACAGG